UGGCGAACGGGUGAGUAACACGUGGGCAACCUGCCCAAAANAGGGGGAGUAACACUUGGAAACAGGUGCUAAUACCGCAUAACCAUAGUUACCGCAUGGUAACUAUGUAAAAGGUGGCUAUGCUACCGCUUUUGGAUGGGCCCGCGGCGCAUUAGCUAGUUGGUGGGGUAAAGGCUUACCAAGGCAAUGAUGCGUAGCCGAACUGAGAGGUUGAUCGGCCACAUUGGGACUGAGACACGGCCCAAACUCCUACGGGAGGCAGCAG
rnacentral:rRNA from 1 species